rnacentral:rRNA from 1 species
UACGUAGGGGGCAAGCGUUAUCCGGAUUUACUGGGUGUAAAGGGAGCGUAGACGGCGAUGCAAGCCAGAUGUGAAAGCCCGGGGCUCAACCCCGGGACUGCAUUUGGAACUGCGUGGCUGGAGUGUCGGAGAGGCAGGCGGAAUUCCUAGUGUAGCGGUGAAAUGCGUAGAUAUUAGGAGGAACACCAGUGGCGAAGGCGGCCUGCUGGACGAUGACUGACGUUGAGGCUCGAAAGCGUGGGGAGCAAACAGG